rnacentral:rRNA from 1 species
AGUGAACGCUGGCGGUAGGCCUAACACAUGCAAGUCGAACGGCAGCACAGUAAGAGCUUGCUCUUACGGGUGGCGAGUGGCGGACGGGUGAGGAAUACAUCGGAAUCUACUUUUUCGUGGGGGAUAACGUAGGGAAACUUACGCUAAUACCGCAUACGACCUACGGGUGAAAGCAGGGGAUCUUCGGACCUUGCGCGAUUGAAUGAGCCGAUGUCGGAUUAGCUAGUUGGCGGGGUAAAGGCCCACCAAGGCGACGAUCCGUAGCUGGUCUGAGAGGAUGAUCAGCCACACUGGAACUGAGGCACGGUCCAGACUCCUACGGGAGGCAGCAGUGGGGAAUAUUGGACAAUGGGCGCAAGCCUGAUCCAGCCAUACCGCGUGGGUGAAGAAGGCCUUCGGGUUGUAAAGCCCUUUUGUUGGGAAAGAAAAGCAGCAGAUUAAAACCCCGCUGUUCUGACGGUACCCAAAGAGUAAGCACCGGCUAACUUCGUG